rnacentral:rRNA from 1 species
UACGAAGGGGGCUAGCGUUGCUCGGAAUCACUGGGCGUAAAGGGUGCGCAGGCGGGUCUUUAAGUCAGGGGUGAAAUCCUGGAGCUCAACUCCAGAACUGCCUUUGAUACUGAAGAUCUUGAGUUCGGGAGAGGUGAGUGGAACUGCGAGUGUAGAGGUGAAAUUCGUAGAUAUUCGCAAGAACACCAGUGGCGGAAGGCGGCUCACUGGCCCGAUACUGACGCUGAGGCACGAAAGCGUGGGGAGCAACAGG